rnacentral:sRNA from 1 species
GCCAAGCCGUGUGGGGUGCGCCUGAGCGGGGAAGCCCGCAAACAGGUGGAAGUCUUCAGGCAGAAUCUUUUCCAGGAGGCGGAGGAAUUCCUCUACAGAUUCUUGCCACAGAAAAUCAUAUACCUGAAUCAGCUCUUGCAAGAGGACUCCCUCAAUGUGGCUGACCUGACUUCCCUCCGGGCCCCACUGGACAUCCCCAUCCCAGACCCUCCACCCAAGGAUGAUGAGAUGGAAACAGAUAAGCAGGAGAAGAAAGAAGGUAAGAGAGAUAAGAGGUGGUUGGGGAAGGGGAGAUGGCACAUUGACUACUGGAUGAGAAAGGGCCUGAAUCCCCUCUUUCUCACAGUCCCUAAGUGUGGAUUUCUCCCUGGGAAUGAGAAAGUCCUGUCCCUGCUUGCCCUGGUUAAGCCAGAAGUCUGGACUCUCAAAGAGAAAUGCAUUCUGGUAAGCCUGGGAAAUGGGGGAAGCAGAAAGAGAAGACACAAGGUGAGGCCCUGGACUCCUCCGUAGAUACAAGUCCUUCAUACAGAGACCAAGUCCUGAAAAAGAAAACUUCCUUCUGUGCCUUGGGCUUAGAUCCCCUUUGUUCUCCUCGUUCUGUUAGACCUCUCUUACCACAACAGUACCCCAAAAUUAGAGACUGUGCAGUAUCCACUCUGUAACCUCAGAACCUACUGCUGUAUUGGGUUCAUAGUAGAG